rnacentral:lncRNA from 10 species
CACAGAUCCAAACCAUUUUAGAGGAGUUGGUGUCCUCCUUCCUGGAUGGCAAAAGGAGAGUAAUAUGAGCAGGCUCAGGCAGAACAAGGAAGAAUCCAGUUCUCCUUAACAGGAAUAACAAGGUCUAUUGUUCCCAAACAGGCAGAGCCAAAGCAUGCUAAGUGAGAAAUAGUCCUCCCACCAUGUGAGAGUACGCUGGGCUGCCUUUCCAUUUUAAAGAAUUGCCUUGGUGAGAUGUCUUCAGUUCUUCUGCUCAGAGCUGGACCAAAGCAGCUGUCGAUCCUUUGCCUCUUUGCACUUUGGAGCCCAGUCCUGAUGGGACCAGGUGUCAGAGCCCUGCCAAAUCUGUGAGAAGGGUGGAAGCAAGUUUCCCUGAGGGAAAAAAAAACAACAAAAAAAAACCUUCUGGAAUUGGGAAAAAUUUAGGUCAACAUCAUUUGAACCUUGACCUCUUGCUCUUUUGUCCCCGGGUGGACAUUUCCUUGACCUCCAGAAAUUCCUCCACCUCAAGGGAAGACUUCUUGCCCCCCUCACUUCCAGAGGCCUCCAAAGUGGGCUGGGAAGAGAUUUAAAGCAGGACCCUGGGAAGCAUGAUGAGACUCUGGAGUGUAGAGAGGCUUCCCUGCAAUGCAAAGAUCUUCAAAGGCCAAGCCCAAGGCACUGCAACCCCCAGGAGGGCCCACUCCAAAGCAGAACAGUGGAGGGAGAGCCUGCGUGUCAAGAAGCCUGGACAGCAAGACCCCCUACUGUGGCAGCCAGCCUGCUUGUAGGAGUCCUGAGAAGCCUAAUUCAAUUACCCUUAUCAGAAUGUCUCUGAACUUAACAAAGCAGAUAAUGAGUUCCAGAGACAGAUACUGCUUGGGGGGCCAAAAUUAUUUUGCUUCCCCAAAUUGGAGGCUGAAAUUGGAGAUGUUUGAAUAAUGGAAAACAUAAUCCUUCCCUAGGCCCAACCCCCUCCCAGUACCCACACCUGAGACACCCUUUCAACCAAGGAGCCUGGAUUCAACAUCCAUGCCGUCUCUCCUCCUGAAGACACCUGGUCAUGAACUCGACCUCUUUCCCCCACCAUCUUUGUGCCAUCGAUGGAAGGAAGCUGCGUACAGGAUGGAAGUGGGAGGGGAAAGGGAUUAACAUUUAUGGAGCCCUCCCCUCUAUGUGUCAGCUACAUAACACAUAGCAUUCAUUUCAACCACAGAACAUAUGUCUUUACAUUACAGAAGGCAACGGAGAACUGGAAAAGUUAACUUACUGCCUGAGGACCCAUCCCCAUCUCACCAGCAGCACAGUCAGAUUCAGACACAGGUAUUCAACUUUGCAACACACUGUGCCUCACGGCCUGUGUGCUCAACAUCAGAAAUCAAAUAGAAACUCCCUCAUUCUAAGAUUCAUAGCCAUCCUCCGAGAUAUGACAUAGCGACCUCUCCUCCGUGAACAGGGAAACAGACUGAGAGGAUAACCUAACUCUCCCAAGGCCAGAGUAUCCACUGGGAUAUGCAGCCAAGUCAGCCAGCAGUUGAAACAAGGGCUCUCUGUGCUAUCUCACAUCUGAAUUGAAUUGUUUCCUACAGACUUCUCAUAGCUCUCUAGGCAAGGAAUACAUCUUCUCACCUUCCCACACUAAGAAAGGCCUCUGUCUGAGCCUGGGUGCCGGGUGGCCAGGAUUCCUGCUGAACGUUCAGGAGCUUUCCAUCUCCAGAGGUGAGCUCCUAGUUCCUGCUUACCUUAGAACUGUAGAACAUAUAAUGUUACCACUGAAAAGAACCUCUCGUAUAGUUGGAUCACACCCUUUACCUAUUUAUUUAAAUGUACUGUUUUAAUUAUGUAACAUUUGAUAUGUGCAGGAUAAUAUGUAUGCAAAUUAUAAAGCAUAAUAAUAAAACCUGUGAACCCACCACUCAACCUUAGAACCAGACCAUUACAAUUGAUGUCCCUCCUACUUCCCCAACAGAAAUAACCACUGUCCGGGACUUUAUGUUUAUAGCCCCACCCCCCACAAUGAUUUUUAUAGUUUUGCCAAAUAUGUUAGCAUGGUAGAUUGCAUUAUUGCUCUGAGUUAAAUAUCCUUCCUUUGACAUAUAAUUUGGCAGUUCCUUCCAUUGGAAGUGAAAUACAUUUCUCUGCCCAAGAUGUUAGAUUUGCUUUGGUCAGUAGAAUGUUGCAGGCUGUGACGGUGAAAAUUCUGAGCCCAGGCCUUAAGAGGAAUCACCUGUUUCCACAUUCCCCACUUGUAUUUCUGCCUCUGCCAUGAGAAAAACAUGCUUCAGGUCACCUGCUGCUCCAAGGAGGAUGAGAGACCUAUGGGGAAGACCUGGACCCAAUCUGAAGUUAGAACUAAGUGCAACUGAGCCCAGCCUGGAUUAACCAACUCCCAGCCAAUCCACAGACACCUGGGUAAGAAUACAUGAAUGUUGUCAGCCACUGAGUUUUGGAGUCAUUUGUUAGGCAGCAUUAUUGUGGCAAUAGCUGACUGAUAUACUAUGUAUCCCUGAACAGCAUAUUGUUUACUUUUGCUUUUUUUUUUAGCUUUGAAAGAUGGUAAUUAAUAUUGCAUGUCAUUAUCUAAUAUUUACUUUUCUUUCCCACUCAACAUGAUAUGUCUGAGAUCUAUGCAGUAGAAUAUAAUACAGCAGUAUAAAUGAACUACAGCAGCAGCCCUCUCAGUUUAGAGAUGAGGAAAAGCAAAAGACCCGGAGAGUUCAUGAAGGGCUGAACUGGCUUGGAAGCCCAAGUGUCAUUCCUUCAGCAGAUAUUUAUUGAACAUAAACUGAGCACUCACCUCAGUGCUAAGAAUAUAAAGGGGAACUGGACACAUAAGGUUCUUGUCCUCUUGAGUUACAGAGGUCAUUUCAUAGAAAGAAUGCAAGGCCACAUCUGUGCCCCCUAUCAUAUCAUUGCCAAGGUUUCCUUAUUGCCUCUGCCCUGCCUGCUGUUUCCCCCAUUCAGUUCACCACCUCCUGUCCCUGGAGGCAAUAAUGUAAUUAAGGCAGUAUGUGAAGACAGCACGCAGAAACUGUGAUGUGGAUAGCUCUCCUUGGAGAUCUGCUGGCAGACUGACUUCCAGGAAAAAGAGCCAAAGUACUUGGGAAAUGCAGACCCAAGGACUGAUCACUUUUGGGAGGUAGGUUUAUUUUUCUGCAGAUGACACUUGUCUAGAGGGAACUGGCAGUUUUCUGACUAGAGAUGGCCCUGUAGUGAGCUUAGCAGCUCCAUGGACUUAGUACCUGGGUGACCACCGUCAGCAGAGAAGCAUGUUUGGAAGACAGAGAACCAAUGAGGGAUGUUUCACACUCUUGAGGAGUUUGCCGUCAAAAAGCAAAGCAGGAUAAGCAAAAAAUGCAUGUCCUCAAACCCCAGAUAACAAACACAAAACAUCAUAGAUAGAACCAGAGCUGAGGUAGAUACACAUGGAUUCACCAUAUGCAGGUACAUGUAGAUUAGGAUGGAUGUCAGGACGUCCAGAGUGGCUGAAAUGACUGCUCCAUACUGUCAUUCCAUAGACAGGUGUCUUUUGUUUCUCUAGAGCAUUUGAGUAGUUCCCAUGAGUUGCCAUUUAUUUCGUGCUUUGGAAAAACACAGUAAGAAUCCCUUCACAUUGAAACUAGACUGAACACAACCGCAUACUCCUCAAUGAUUCAGAAGGCGUUCCAGGGCGUUGCAGGCCCUCAGGGACAUCAUUAGGAAAAUAGGUUACUGUAGAAACUGAAGGAACAGCAUCCUGAUAAUAUGAGGUUUCACAGUGAUUGGGUCCUGGAUAAAGAAGUUAUUUUCGGUAAUGAAG